UUUUAUACGACCGCAAAAAUUAAAAAUUUUUUGGUCGUAUAUUGGUAUGACGUUGGCGUCGUCCGGCGUCGUCCGGCGUCGUCCGAAGACACAUUGGUUUUCGCACUCUAACUUUAGUUUAAGUGAAUGGAUCUCCAUGAAAUUUCACCAUAAGGUUCAAUACCACAAAAGGAAGGUUGGGAUUGAUUUUGGGGGUUAUGGUACCAACAGUUAAGGAAUUAGGGGCCAAAAAGGGGCCAAAAAUAAGCAUUUUUGUAACUUUCAGACAAUAACUUGUGUGUAAGUGUAUGGAUCUCUCUGACAUUGUACCACAAGGUUCCAUAUCACAAAGGGAAGGCUUUAAUUAAUUUUGGGGGUAAUUGCCUCAAAAUUUUAGGAAUUAGGGGCCAAAAAAGGGGCAAAAAACAAGCAUUUUUCUAGUUUCAUGACAAUAACUUGUGUGUAAGUGUUUGGAUAUUUCUGAAAUUGUACUACAAGGUUCCAUAUCACAAAGGGAAAGCUGGAAUUGAGUUUGGGGGUAAUUGCCCGAAACGUUUAGGAAUUGGGGGCCAAAAAGGGGCCAAAAAUAAGCAUUUUUCUAGUUUCCAGACAAUAACUUGUGUUCAAGUAUAUGGAUCUCUCUGAAAUUGUACUGCAAGGUACCAUACCACAAAGGGAAGGCUGGGAUUGAGUUUGGGGGUGAUGAAUCAUAAGGGGGUUCAAAAAAUUUGGGGGGGGGAUUUUUUUUUUUUUUUUUUUUUCUUUUUUUCCUUUUUUUUUUCUUUUAAAAUUUUCCAUUUUAAGUUGGUUAUUUCUGAUUUAUAUUUAAAAGCAAAUAAUAAUGAUAUGGUAGGAGAUACACACCAAACAGGAUGUGUAAAUUAUUAUAUAAUAAGUAUUGUGCAAUAGCAAGAAAUUUUCAAUUGCACAGUAUUGCACAAUAGCAAGAAAUCUUCAAUUGCACAGUAUUGCGCAAUAGCAAGAAAUCUUCAAUUUAACAGUAUUGCGCAAUAGCAAGAAAUAUCAAAUAGCACAAUAUUGCGCAAUAGCAAGAAAUUGUCAAUUGUACAGUAUUGCGCAAUAGCAAGAAAUAUUCAAUUGCACAGUAUUGUGCAAAAGAAGAUACUUCGUAUAAAUUGCUUAUUUCUUGAUCAAUUUCAAUGGGGUUUUAUUCUUGAGUUCUUGGGGUUCUUUAAUAUGCUGAAUCUAACCGUGUAUUAAGUUUUUGGAUUUUGGGCCCUGUUUUUAAAUUGGUCCACAUUGAGGUCCAAAGGGUCCAAAAUUAAACUUUGUUUGAUUUCAUCAAAAAUUGAAUUAUUGGGGUUCUUUGAUAUGCCGAAUCUAACCGUGUAUUUAGAUUUUUAAUUUUGGGUCCCGUUUUUUAAAUUUGUCUACAUUAAGGUCCAAAGGGUCCAAAAUUAAACUUAGUUUGAUUUUAACAAAAAUUGAAUUCUUAGGGUUCUUUGAUAUGCUGAAUCUAAACAUGUGUUUAGAUUUUUGAUUAUGGGCCCAGUUUUCAAGUUGGUCCAAGUUGGGGUCCAAAAUUAAACUUUGUUUGAUUUCAACAAAAAUUGAAUAUAUGGGGUUCUUUGAUAUGCUGAAUCUAAACAUGUAUUUAGAUUUUAGAUUUUUGGCCCAGUUUUCAAGUUGGUCCAAAUUGGGGUCCAAAAUUAAACUUUGUUUGAUUUCAACAAAAAUUGAAUAUAUGGGGUUCUUUGAUAUGCUGAAUCUAAACAUGUAUUUAGAUUUUAGAUUUUUGGCCCAGUUUUCAAGUUGGUCCAAAUUGGGGUCCAAAAUUAAACUUUGUUUGAUUUCAACAAAAAUUGAAUAUAUGGGGUUCUUUGAUAUGCUGAAUCUUACCAUGUAUUUAGAUUUUUUAUUUGUGGGCCCGCUAUCAAAUUGGUUCAUAUUGAGGUCAAAAGGGUCCAAAAUUAAACUUUGUUUGAUUUCAUCAAAAAUUGAAUUAUUGGGGUUCUUUGAUAUGCCAAAUCUAACCGUGUAUUUAGAUUUUUAAUUUUGGGUCCUGUUUUUUAAAUUGGUCUACAUUAAGGUCCAAAGGGUCCAAAAUUAAACUUAGUUUGAUUUUAACAAAAAUUGAAUUUUUGGGGUUCUUUGAUAUGCUGAAUCUAAACAUGUGUUUAGAUUUUUGAUUAUGGGACCAGUUUUCAAGUUUGUCCAAGUUGGGGUCCAAAAUUAAACUUUGUUUGAUUUCAACAAAAAUUGAAUAUAUGGGGUUCUUUGAUAUGCUGAAUCUAACCAUGUAUUUUGAUUUUGGACAUUGGACCAUAAUAGGUAAAUUAAAAAAAUUGAAGUUCUUAGACCACAUUCUUUCUGUGUCAGAAACCUAUGCUGUGUCAAAUAUUUAAUCACAAUCCAAAUUCAGAGCUGUAUCAAGCUUGAAUGUUGUGUCCAUACUUGCCCCAACUGUUCAGGGUUCGACCUCUGCGGUCGUAUCAAGCUGCGCCCAGCGAAGCAUUUUAUU